rnacentral:sRNA from 1 species
CAGCGAGAAAGCGUUGCCGUAGGCAACGACCCGAAGGGCGAAGCGCGCAGCGCUGAGUAAUCCUUCCCCCGUCAUCC